rnacentral:rRNA from 1 species
UACGUAGGUGGCGAGCGUUGUCCGGAAUUACUGGGUGUAAAGGGCGUGUAGGCGGGAUUGCAAGUCAGAUGUGAAAUUCCAGGGCUUAACUCUGGAGCUGCAUCUGAAACUGUGAUUCUUGAGUGAUGGAGAGGAAAGUGGUAUUCCUAGUGUAGCGGUGAAAUGCGUAGAUAUUAGGAGGAACACCAGUGGCGAAGGCGACUUUCUGGACAUUAACUGACGCUGAGGCGCGAAAGCGUGGGGGAGCAAACAGG